ensembl:lncRNA LINC00343 long intergenic non-protein coding RNA 343
AUGGGAAAGAAACCUGGAAAGGUAGGGAGUACCCUUGGCUGUGUACAUUUGAGUAAAGAGAGCACUAUAAAAUCAAAAACCAAUGAAAUGGUUUCCAGAACACAGAACUAUUAAGCUUAAGAAAAGGACAGAAGGAACUGAAGAGAGAGGAACUGUUUUGGAGCAUCACACUUCCACCUCAGAAGAAAUAAGGAAGGAAGGAGGAGGGUGUUCCCACGGCUCUUCAACCAGGCCGGCUCUUCAGCCUACAUCCCCAUCUCAUCAAGUAAAAGGGAUUUUUCAACUGGACCAACCAGAUGGUUUAACAGUGCACUCCCACACCAUUCAACUACGCAAGGGAGAUACACUUAACAUAUGCAGUCGUAUAACACCUACUAACAUUUUCAAACAUUAAACCUUUAAAAAAGAGUUCUAAAGAAAUAGAAGCUUGAAGUAUCAUCUCUCAAGUAUAUAGACACUACUUCAUGGUGUGGUAAUAUAUGCAUAUAGAAGCUAGUAAACACCUCCAGGAGAUGCAAAAGGAAUUAGAACUGCCACAAGGUGCAAGCAAAACCUUGAGGUAAUCAAUCUGCAUCCCAUUUUGGAUGAGAAUAUUUGCAACUUUGAAGGUUAUUUUAAGGACAGCAGCAGAAGAAUUAUGGCAGCUCUUCACGGAAAAAAAAAUGGCAACAAUAAAAUCAGCAACUCCUGCCAAAUAAAUGGGCAUAAAAAAGAAAUCAUAGACUGCUGGCAAUGGUGGGGAAAAAGUUAUAAAAAUUGUCUCUGCACCAUCUUCCUUUUGUCCUCUAAAAUAUUCACAUUAGCAAAAGUAUAUAACAGCUGAUGAAGAAAUACUGAUAAUUUGUCUUUCUUCUUUAAAAUAUGAAGACUUCGAAGUUAUUUAUCCAAACCAACCUGAUCAUUUCUUAAGAGUGAAUAUACCUUGGAAGACGUGUCCUGCCUUUAGUAGCGUCACAAUGGAUUACAUCCUCUAUAAAGCAGUCUGGGGUGAGAAAAUCGAAUUUGGACACCGUUGAGGAGACUAUUGCAGUCAUCCAAGCUCAAGAUGGUGGAGCUUCAUCCUUGAGAAUAACCAAUGGGGAUAGAUUUAAGAGACACUUAGAGUCUGCAGCCAACAGGGCUGAAUGAGCAGAGAGUUAUGAUUCAGAAGAUCAUCUAAAAUUGAACAGCUGCCACUACUGGCAAUAAGUCUACUGCCAUUUGGUAGAUAACCUUCUUAUCACACAGAAAAAUAUCAGUACAGACAAAUAGACCGCAAAGAAAAUGAGACCAUCAGCAAAGAAGAUAAAGAAGUUUGUACAAAGCAACUUUUUAUAAAUGGAUGGCUGUCAGGCAAAAAUAAAUUUCCUGUGGACAAGACCAAGAGCAAGGCAAGAGGAAAAUAAACAUGUUUAAACU